UGCAGUCGAGCGGUAGCACAGAGAGCUUGCUCUCGGGUGACGAGCGGCGGACGGGUGAGUAAUGUCUGGGAAACUGCCUGAUGGAGGGGGAUAACUACUGGAAACGGUAGCUAAUACCGCAUAACGUCGCAAGACCAAAGUGGGGGACCUUCGGGCCUCAUGCCAUCAGAUGUGCCCAGAUGGGAUUAGCUAGUAGGUGGGGUAACGGCUCACCUAGGCGACGAUCCCUAGCUGGUCUGAGAGGAUGACCAGCCACACUGGAACUGAGACACGGUCCAGACUCCUACGGGAGGCAGCAGUGGGGAAUAUUGCACAAUGGGCGCAAGCCUGAUGCAGCCAUGCCGCGUGUAUGAAGAAGGCCUUCGGGUUGUAAAGUACUUUCAGCGGGGAGGAAGGCGAUAAGGUUAAUAACCUUGUCGAUUGACGUUACCCGCAGAAGAAGCACCGGCUAACUCCGUGCCAGCAGCCGCGGUAAUACGGAGGGUGCAAGCGUUAAUCGGAAUUACUGGGCGUAAAGCGCACGCAGGCGGUCUGUCAAGUCGGAUGUGAAAUCCCCGGGCUCAACCUGGGAACUGCAUUCGAAACUGGCAGGCUAGAGUCUUGUAGAGGGGGGUAGAAUUCCAGGUGUAGCGGUGAAAUGCGUAGAGAUCUGGAGGAAUACCGGUGGCGAAGGCGGCCCCCUGGACAAAGACUGACGCUCAGGUGCGAAAGCGUGGGGAGCAAACAGGAUUAGAUACCCUGGUAGUCCACGCCGUAAACGAUGUCGAUUUGGAGGUUGUGCCCUUGAGGCGUGGCUUCCGGAGCUAACGCGUUAAAUCGACCGCCUGGGGAGUACGGCCGCAAGGUUAAAACUCAAAUGAAUUGACGGGGGCCCGCACAAGCGGUGGAGCAUGUGGUUUAAUUCGAUGCAACGCGAAGAACCUUACCUGGUCUUGACAUCCACAGAACUUAGCAGAGAUGCUUUGGUGCCUUCGGGAACUGUGAGACAGGUGCUGCAUGGCUGUCGUCAGCUCGUGUUGUGAAAUGUUGGGUUAAGUCCCGCAACGAGCGCAACCCUUAUCCUUUGUUGCCAGCGGUCCGGCCGGGAACUCAAAGGAGACUGCCAGUGAUAAACUGGAGGAAGGUGGGGAUGACGUCAAGUCAUCAUGGCCCUUACGACCAGGGCUACACACGUGCUACAAUGGCAUAUACAAAGAGAAGCGACCUCGCGAGAGCAAGCGGACCUCAUAAAGUAUGUCGUAGUCCGGAUUGGAGUCUGCAACUCGACUCCAUGAAGUCGGAAUCGCUAGUAAUCGUAGAUCAGAAUGCUACGGUGAAUACGUUCCCGGGCCUUGUACACACCGCCCGUCACACCAUGGGAGUGGGUUGCAAAAGAAGUAGGUAGCUUAACCUUCGGGAGGGCGCUACCA
rnacentral:rRNA from 1 species